rnacentral:tRNA from 1 species
AAGGCAUUUAUUUCUCGGCGACCCCCGUGCCUGAGGCUGUGAGCCACCAAUGGGCAGCCGCCGUGGCAGCUAGGCAGACUAGCUAGCCUGCUCCACUGGGGGGAACCACUCCCAGCGGAAGUGAUGCUUGAUCUUCUCCGCAGUGCUUCUCCAACUGCGUCUCUAGAGUCUGCCUCUUCACACCCACAGCUCCUCAAGGACAAUUAUUGCAAUUGAUCUAUCAACUUCUCAGCACUCAGCAGUCGAUCAAUACACGCUAGCUGAUAUCGGGGCCCAUGCUUUCUUGACUGCUUCAAGAUGCGUCACCGACUUUUGCAAUGUUCGCUACGUUAUGCGCAACCACAUCACCUGACAGCUACUUCGGUCUAUUCUAUGUCGACGCGGCACGGGCUCUCAAAGUGAAGCAAGUCGUGGCUGAUUAAGGCCAACGGACUAGCUGUUAAGGGUUCAGACUUCGGCGGCUGGUUCGAAAUUCACCGCGCGGUCUCCUUUGAGACGUCAAAAACUACGAUAGUUAACGGGGGUUUGAGCGAGUAAAAAAGGAAUGCUUCCCAGCGAACAGCAACAGAAGAAAAAAAGCAAAAAGCGCAAAAAGAAAUGAAUGAAUGCUCUUACUCGGGAUCGAACCGAGGACCUUGUCAUUACUAGUGACACGCUCUACCACUGAGCCAUAAGAGCUGCUUCAUGGAAACGGUGCGCCGUUAAGCGGUUCAUCUUGCGCCCACGUGCGCUUUAGAAACAAGAAAUGAUAUGAAAACUGGAGGUAAACUUCUGAUGAUGAGGGUGCAGAGAUGAGUUAUGUAAAGCAGUUUUGUGGAGAUUUUCUCGUGGUACUACAAUAAAUUAGUUAACUACGGGCAAGGCUCAUAUUAUGUCAGCCUCGGAACGUGAGCCGUGGAACAAAGAAAUCGUAGAUUACCUGCCUAUCCAGGAGCGACUGAGUCCAUCUACAACUCCGUGGCGGUCAUCAGUCAGUCAAUGUGCCAAAAAAAAAAACGACACUGCGUACGGUACGGGUCUUUCUAGGGAUCUGAAACUAUCAAAAAUAACAAAAAAAGAAAUAAUCCAAUGCUCUUACUCGGGAUCGAACCGAGGACCUUGUCAUUACUAGUGACACGCUCUACCACUGAGCCAUAAGAGCUGAUUGGUUGAAUGGACGCGCCGAAAAGUGAUACAUCUGACAGCCAGAUGAAUAAGCACCGACGAGAAUAUUAAAGGAUUGGAUGAUGACCAU